UUUUAAUCAAUUCUCCGUCAACAAACUACGGGACUGAAGAGAGGAGCCCUAAACCCUCCGCCGCCAUCUCUGGUGCCUUGUGAGCCUCUGUAAUCCUCUUUCACACAGAAAUGGCCUGCCGUGGCUCCAUCUCAAGGUCGAUCAUCUCCAUUGCACGUUCGUCUCCGUCUUCCCUCCGAUCACCGGCGGCUCUUCCCCGUUUCCGCCCUCCUCGUAUCCAACGCACUCGCCUCUUUGCUACCUCGAGGUUGCCGUGUGAGCUAGGAUGCGCAUCGUCACUUCUUCCGCUGCAUAGCGUGAUCGCCAUUCCGCGACUCACCUCUCACCUCUCGGUCAGCGCGAGAGCGUGCUGUGAGCUGUCUCAGGGGAGGAGUGGUAAAGAUGGGUGAUUGAAGAGAGUGGUCUACUUUCUGUCAGGAGUUUCAUGCUGCUAUUCAAAUGCUGUACUUGAAGACAGAAAUCUUGGUGGAGAAAAAUAAAAAGAAAAAAGGAAGCCAACGUUUGAACUACGCAUUGGAGUUGUUUAGCUGGGUAGGGGAGAGUAAUAUGCCAAAUUAGGCUUCUUGUAAUUUUCAGGGUGAACCAGCUAGAAUUUUUGUUUUUUUUUUUAAUAAAAACUUUACUUAUAUUCUA